UUCUUGUAGUGUCCGCCUCUUUUCUCUGACUCGAGGCUUUCUUUUUGGCUUCUCUUCCGAUUGCUCCUUACACGUCACGAACCGAAGCACGAGACGAAACCCGGCGUCGUGAGAUCCGGGAGCGGGAGGCUCAGAUGGCGACGGAGGAUGACUCCCAGAGCAUGGUGUCGACCUACGGGAAGCUGGAAGGGGUGGCGAUGUGGGUAGGAGCGAGCGUGGUAUCCGCCUUCUUCGCCUCCCUUGAGCGCUGCUCCUGCAUCAACCUCAGCACCACCGAGGACGACGGCGACGACCUCGAGGAGGCCAACGACCGCCCGCUCAUGCUCACAAAGCCCGUCCUCCACGACGAGGAGAAUCCCAAACCUUCCUCCCUCUGAUCCAGUCGACUCCCUCGUCAUCACCGUGGAACCCUAAAUCCUUGAAAUCGUUCGGUUCGUGGCAUCGUCGAUCUCGAUAUGUUUCUUGUUUCUCUCUCGUGUCGUGGUAUUUCCUCUUUUUAACUCUUCAUGUGUUGAUCCAUGCGUUUCUUUCCUACCUGUGUAGAUCUGAGUUUGCCUUAGAAACCUGAUCUUUGGAAGUGACAAUCGUGAAAAUAUUGUGUUUCCUUGUCGUGAUACGGUGCCUCUAUGCUGUAUUGCUCAUCUUGUCAUGGCCAGGUUUUGUUU